rnacentral:rRNA from 1 species
CCUACGGGUGGCUGCAGUGAGGAAUAUUGCACAAUGGGCGCAAGCCUGAUGCAGCGACGCCGCGUGGGUGAUGAAGGCCUUCGGGUCGUAAAGCCCUUUUCGAGAUGACGAGGCAGGACGGUAGUCUCGGAAGAAGUGUCGGCUAACUACGUGCCAGCAGCCGCGGUAAAACGUAGGACACAAGCGUUAUCCGGAGUGACUGGGCGUAAAGGGCGUGUAGGCGGUCUAAUAAGUCUGAUAUGAAAGCUCCUGGCUCAACUGGGAGAGGCUGUCGG